AUUGAACGCUGGCGGCAUGCCUUACACAUGCAAGUCGAACGGCAGCACGGGAGCAAUCCUGGUGGCGAGUGGCGAACGGGUGAGUAAUAUAUCGGAACGUGCCCAGUCGUGGGGAUAACGUAGCGAAAGCUACGCUAAUACCGCAUACGAUCUAUGGAUGAAAGCGGGGGAUCGCAAGACCUCGCGCGAUUGGAGCGGCCGAUAUCAGAUUAGGUAGUUGGUGAGGUAAAGGCUCACCAAGCCGACGAUCUGUAGCUGGUCUGAGAGGACGACCAGCCACACUGGGACUGAGACACGGUCCAGACUCCUACGGGAGGCAGCAGUGGGGAAUUUUUGGGACAAUGGGCGCAAGCCUGAUCCAGCAAUGCCGCGUGAGUGAAGAAGGCC
rnacentral:rRNA from 1 species